AUACGUAGGUGACAAGCGUUAUCCGGAUUUACUGGGCGUAGAGGGCGUGUAGGCGGUCUUGCAAGUCAGAAGUGAAAUUCCUGAGCUCAACUCGGGCGCUGCUUCUGAAACUGCAGGACUUGAGUGCUGGAGGGGAUAGCGGAAUUCCUAGUGGAGCGGUAAAAUGCGCAGAUAUUAGGAAGAACACCGGUGGCGAAGGCGGCUAUCUGGACAGUAACUGACGCGGAGGCGCGAAAGCGUGGGGAGCAAACAGGAUUAGAUACCCUGUUAGUCCACGCCGUAAACGAUGAAUACUAGGUGUAGGGGGUAUCGACUCCCUCUGUGCCGCAGUUAACACAAUAAGUAUUCCGCCUGGGGAGUACGGCCGCAAGGUUGAAACUCAAAUGAAUUGACGGGG
rnacentral:rRNA from 1 species